UAAAACUUCCCACAGUUUUUACCAAACAAACCAUAAGUCAUGCUGGCUGCUUUCUACAUAUUUAAAAUAAAUCUUCAUUACCACAGUUACAAAGAACAAGGUCAGGGAGGAGACAGCAGUGAUCAUAAUGCAGACU